CAGUCGUACCUGCGGAUAAUCAGCUUUUUGAGUGUGAUUAUGUGGUUUAUGAGGAGUUUAACCGCCUUCAUGUAUUGCAUAUUUGUGCUCUUGGGUGUACUUGUCUGUGUGGUAGGUUAACAUCAAUUUCGGUCGUCAUAAAAUGAUUGGAGGAAUGUAGCUUUGGUCUCGUAUCGAAGUGUUAUAGACUCUGGUAGAUGUGACGAUUGGGGAUUGAGGAUUGCAACGGAUACCCUUCGGGGCUACUCGUCUGAUCUCUGAAGGUUGCUCCGGUACCGAAAGCGUGCUUACGGUCAUCGAAAGUGAUUUUCAAAAGGUUAGAACGGGUUAAAUUCGUUAAGGAUGUUGACGUAAUGGUUUUAAACGACCCGUCUUGAAACACGGACCAAGGAGUCUAGCAUAUAUGCGAGUGUU
rnacentral:rRNA from 1 species